rnacentral:rRNA from 1 species
UACAGAGGGGGCAAGCGUGGUUCGGAAUCACUGGGCGUAAAGGGUGCGUAGGCGGGUCUUUAAGUCAGGGGUGAAAUCCUGGAGCUCAACUCCAGAACUGCCUUUGAUACUGAAGAUCUUGAGUUCGGGAGAGGUGAGUGGAACUGCGAGUGUAGAGGUGAAAUUCGUAGAUAUUCGCAAGAACACCAGUGGCGAAGGCGGCUCACUGGCCCGAUACUGACGCUGAGGCACGAAAGCGUGGGGAGCAAACAGG